UACGUAGGGUGCAAGCGUUAAUCGGAAUUACUGGGCGUAAAGCGUGCGCAGGCGGUUUUGUAAGUCUGACGUGAAAUCCCCGGGCUCAACCUGGGAAUUGCGUUGGAGACUGCAAGGCUAGAGUGUGUCAGAGGGGGGUAGAAUUCCACGUGUAGCAGUGAAAUGCGUAGAGAUGUGGAGGAACACCGAUGGCGAAGGCAGCCCCCUGGGUCAAGAUUGACGCUCAUGCUCGAAAGCGUGGGGAGCGAACAGG
rnacentral:rRNA from 1 species